rnacentral:rRNA from 1 species
UACGUAGGGUGCGAGCGUUACUCGGAAUUACUGGGCGUAAAGCGUGCGCAGGCGGUUUUGUAAGCCAGUUGUGAAAUCCCCGGGCUCAACCUGGGAACGGCAUUUGGGACUGCAAGGCUCGAGUGCGGCAGAGGAGACUGGAAUUCCUGGUGUAGCAGUGAAAUGCGUAGAUAUCAGGAGGAACACCGAUGGCGAAGGCAGGUCUCUGGGCUGACACUGACGCUCAUGCACGAAAGCGUGGGGAGCAAACAGG